UAACCUAACUAUUUUGAGAAGAAG
rnacentral:siRNA from 1 species